AUUGAACGCUGGCGGUAUGCCUAACACAUGCAAGUCGAACGAGGGUAGCAAUACUCUAGUGGCGGACGGGUGAGGAAUACAUAGGAAUUUGCCCUUAAGUGGGGGAUAACCCGGGGAAACCCGGAUUAAUACCGCAUGAUCUCGAGAGAGCAAAGCAGGGGACCGCAAGGCCUUGCGCUUUUGGAGAAGCCUAUGUCGGAUUAGCUUGUUGGUGAGGUAAUGGCUCACCAAGGCUGCGAUCCGUAACUGGUCUGAGAGGAUGAUCAGUCACAUCGGAACUGAGAAAGGGUCCGAACACCUAGGGGAGGCAGCAGUGGGGAAUAUUGGACAAUGGGCGAAAGCCUGAUCCAGCAAUACCGCGUGUGUGAAGAAGGCCUUCGGUUUGUAAAGCACUUUAGGUCGGAAAGAAAAAACUUUCUCUAAUACAGGAAGUCUUGACGGUACCGACAGAAUAAGCACCGGCUAACUCUGUGCCAGCAGCCGCCGUAAUAC
rnacentral:rRNA from 1 species